rnacentral:lncRNA from 1 species
GGUGCUAGUGACCCAACAAUAACCCCGCAUAUGUCCAUAAUAGGGAGUGCCUCACUAAACGGCUGCCACUUAUACUUCUACGACUGUACCAAAGGAGUUCUGAAACUUUUCGCUUGCUAGAUGGUAAAUGACUAGCCACUUCUCCACUCACUGUGAUUCGUAAUCUAAACAAACUCUAGGAUGUGCAAGUCAUUAUCCCAUAACAACUUGAACGCACCUCUACGGCCCUCGAGGGGGAAAUAUGGUGCGUCUUCUAGGGCGAUAGGUAUUCACCCUCAUCUAUAAAAUCCAAACUCCUUGAAACUC